rnacentral:tRNA from 1 species
GAGUGUAGCUCAGUGGUAGAGUACUUGCCUAGCACAUUGGAGGGCUGGAGUUCAAUCCCCAGUACUGCA